AGAUAAUGUAAAACAGAGUCCGUGCACUAGUAGUGGUAAAACUUAAAACUUCAAAAGUCCAAUAAUAUGCAUAAAAGACGUCUCACUGUUAUGUAGAUGAGCUGUAUAUGUGCAGUCCUCAAAGGUUAAUCCUUCCGAAUUUUCAGGGAAUCCGUAUAUGAAAGAUAAGAACAUAAACACACUUCCAAUGGUAUAGUAUAUACUGAGAGGUUUAGCGAAAUUGAAUAAAAGUGGAGAAUGGUAAACUCACAUUUGUUGGAGCUUAGGACCAGCUCUUAGUUGUAAGGCAC